AAAAUGCAUAAAGGAUAACAGGCCACUUGGCUUAAGAAAGUUGGCAUGUAUAUUUACGUGAAGUAAUGCCAUGUUGUAGACUGCAAUGUUUGAC